GCAGACACAUUCCAGCCAAUCAGCAGCAGACCCUCCCUUCCAGACCCUCCCACCUCCUGGACAGCUCACUUAAAAUGCAGCUUCACAAUGGAUGUAAAAUGGAUGCUGUCCAGGAGAUGGGAGGGUCUGGGAGGGAGGGUCUGCUGGUGAUUGGCUGGAAUGUGUCUG
rnacentral:miRNA from 1 species